UACGAGGGAUGCAAGCGUUAUCCGGAAUUAUUGGGCGUAAAGCGUUUGUAGGCGGGCGAGUGUGUUUAAUGUUAAAUCUUAAAGCUCAACUUUGAAAUUGCGUUAAAAACUGCUUGUCUUGAGUAUGGUAGGGGUAAAGGGAAUUCCCAGUGUAGCGGUGAAAUGCGUAGAUAUUGGGAAGAACACUAAACAGCGAAAGCACUUUACUAGGCUAAUACUGACGCUGAGAAACGAAAGGUAAGGUAGCGAAACGGAUUAGAUACCCGUGUAGUCUUACCCGUAAACUAUGGACACUAAACGGUAAAUUUUUAAUUUACUGUUAAAGCUAACGCGUUAAGUGUCCCGCCUGGGGAGUAUGCUUGCAAAAGUGAAACUCAAAGGAAUUGACGGGGGCCCGCACAAGCGGUGGAGCAUGUGGUUUAAUUCGACGGUACACGAAGAACCUUACCAGGAUUUGACAUGCUAGAUAGUUGCUUGAAAGAGUAACGUGCCGUAAGGAAUCUAGACACAGGUGGUGCAUGGCUGUCGUCAGUUCGUGUUGUGAAAUGUUGGGUUAAGUCCCGCAACGAACGCAACCCUUGUCUUUAGUUAUUUUCUAAAGAGACUGCCUGUAAUAAACAGGAGGAAGGUAAGGAUGAGGUCAAGUCAUCAUGCCCCUUAUGUCCUGGGCUACACACGUGCUACAAUGGGAAAGACAAUGAGCUGCAAAUCUGUAAAUUUAAGCAAAUCUCUUAAACUUUCUCGUAGUUCGGAUUGUGGGCUGCAACUCGCCCACAUGAAGUUGGAAUCGCUAGUAAUCGCCAGUCAGCUAUAUGGCGGUGAAUCCGUUCCCGGGCCU
rnacentral:rRNA from 1 species